UUUAACUGAAGAGUUUGAUCAUGGCUCAGAUUGAACGCUGGCGGCAGGCUUAACACAUGCAAGUCGAGCGGGGGAAGGUAGCUU
rnacentral:rRNA from 1 species